AUCACCAGUGGAACUAGGCAUCUGAAUGAUGUCCCAGGAAGCUAAGUCUCAGGAGGACAAACACCAAGGGAGGGACAACAUCCACCGUCCAGUCUGUCUCAAUGGAUGGUAAAGGAAAAUAAAAUGAAUAAAGAAGCAUUGCUCAGGGUGCCAGCCCUGCAAACACCACAUCCCUGGAUGACAUUACUGGUGACCUUUCCCUGUCCCUCCACACCUUGCUGAUAUGAAGUAUCAUAUAAGAGCUUUAACAUGCAGAAUAAAAGCUUUGCUGAAGUCCUGGA